rfam:Pseudomonas sp. 20_BN genome assembly, contig: CONTIG000001
ACGGACGGCGGAUUCACGUAGAAUGCGCCGGACUGAUCCCAUCCCGAACUCAGAAGUGAAACGACGCAUCGCCGAUGGUAGUGUGGGGCUUCCCCAUGUGAGAGUAGGUCAUCGUCAAGC